GUGCUUGCUUCGGCAGCACAUAUACUAAAAUUGGAACGAUACAGAGAAGAUAAGCAUGGCCCCUGUGCAAGGAUGGCACGCAAAUUUGUGGAAUGUUAAACAUUUUU
rnacentral:snRNA from 1 species